UAUAGGAGAGAGAAAGAGAUGUGUUAAGAAUCUCUGAGCCACCACAGCUAACAUCGAAAUUGUCGGCGAACUCUGUCUCAUCCAGUAAGUGAGGAUAAACGAUGGCCGCAAUGGUGGCUACGUUACGGUUCCUAUGAUGAUGACGAUGUUUAUGGGCUGAAUGUUUGAAGCUUAUUUGAGCAUUGUAAUCAUCGGAAGAAUCAGGCCCCACAGCCUCGGUGUCAUAUCCGCCGUAUCUCCUUUCUUUGCCACCUUUUGGCUACACGAAUGUUGCAAAUCUUUAUUUUGAGAUAGCCUAUAGCAGCUAAUAAAUGCAAUGCUUUCCAUAGCCAGUGCAAGGCUUAUCUUAGUGGAAUUAUUGUAUACCUUUAUACUCAUGAUUUCAAGCAAGCAAUGUUGCAACUACUGUUAUCGGUAAGUUCACUUUUUAUGUCUAUAAACUUAUGUAUCAAUUAUUUUAGUG